rnacentral:rRNA from 1 species
UUGAACGCUGGCGGCAGGCCUAACACAUGCAAGUCGAACGGUAACAGGGAUCAGCUUGCUGAUUCGCUGACGAGUGGCGGACGGGUGAGUAAUGUCUGGGAAACUGCCUGAUGGAGGGGGAUAACUACUGGAAACGGUAGCUAAUACCGCAUAACGUCGCAAGACCAAAGAGGGGGACCUUCGGGCCUCUUGCCAUCGGAUGUGCCCAGAUGGGAUUAGCUAGUAGGUGGGGUAACGGUUCACCUAGGCGACGAUCCCUAGCUGGUCUGAGAGGAUGACCAGCCACACUGGAACUGAGACACGGUCCAGACUCCUACGGGAGGCAGCAGUGGGGAAUAUUGCACAAUGGGCGCAAGCCUGAUGCAGCCAUGCCGCGUGUAUGAAGAAGGCCUUCGGGUUGUAAAGUACUUUCAGCGGGGAGGAAGGGAGUAAAGUUAAUACCUUUGCUCAUUAACGUUACCCGCAGAAGAAGCACCGGCUAACUCCGUG